UCUCCGUAGGUGAACCUGCGGAGGGAUCAUUACAGAGUUCAUGCCCUAACGGGUAGAUCUCCCACCCUAUGCUAUCAUCACUUUGUUGCUUUGGCGGGCCGUCAGGCCUCGGCUUGGCUACCGGCUCUCGCUGGUAAGCGCCCGCCAGAGAACCCCAAACCCUGAAUAUCAGUGUCGUCUGAGUACUAUAUAAUAGUUAAAACUUUCAACAACGGAUCUCUUGGUUCUG
rnacentral:misc_RNA from 1 species